rnacentral:lncRNA from 1 species
CAAAGAGUCAACUUUGCAAGCAGGCCUUUCUAAAGGUAACAGUCUCAGGCCUACCAGGUAAUUCUUUUCUGCGCACUGUGUCAUUUCCUGAUGUAUAUAUUCUUAUUGAUGUAGAAAUGCCAUAUAAAUUAGCAUUUACAAAUUAUUUUUAAUAUAUCUAUUUGAAGAUUCUCUUUUUAUCUAUAUUUUCAUUCCAUUACCUGAAUUGCUUCUUUAGUUGCCUAUUGAAGACCCCAGCUGAGAGUCUUGUUCUCCUUCAAGGCAAACGAUGCAAGGCAAAGGAAAGACUCAGAAACAAGACUUAAACAGAAAUGGGCAACCGGGAUGGCCACACUAAACAUGUGUCAAGGACCCCAAGUGGUAUUUGUUGAUUACGCAUGCAUGAGUAAGAAAAGGGUAGGGGGAUACAUGUGGCAUCUGGUGAUAUCAGUGGACACAGGCAAGGCUUGUAGAAAGGAGGAUGAGACAUUCUUAUGAAAACAGCAGAACAGGACUAAGCUUUUGUUUAAACAAGAAACCAGUGCUCCCAUUUCCAGUCACCUGUGGGCCUCUCCUGUCUGACUCGCAUUACAGACCGUCAGAAAAGAUCAUUCAGACCACUGCCAUUGUUCGGGUCGAACACUUUAUCUUCUUGGUAGAAACAUUCCAAUAAAAUAUGUAAAGUGUCACAAUGUCUAUAUCCUAAUCUUAAAUGAUUCAGAAAAAAAUAAA